GAACAUAGGAGAUCGGAGAACUAGACAUGGAACUGUCUAAAUAAGCAAUAUUUGACCAGAACUGGCAAUGAAAAACUCAAGAUUAAGAAGGGAAGCUCUGCCCCAACUACAAGUUCCAUAGUCACAUUUAUCAGGCGGCCACCAGUCUAAAGUAGCACAGAUAAAAUCAUGGUCAGUUGCUCCAAUUGAAGCUGUUCCAUUGAUGAAAAGAGUACCUUGUGUGCUCUGUGAAGGCACAAAGACUGAGCUUUUACUCACCAGGUAAAGCCAAACACACGAAAUCAAAAACAAGAGACUGAAGAAAGAACCCAUUAGAUAAAGUAGUGUCUUCUGCUUUGUGCUUGUCUCUAUAUCAGCUUUCACGGUUGCCAUGCAAGUCAGGAGUAGUUAAAUGACAAGACUAUCAUUGGCUGCAGAGAGAAAUUUUUUGUGUUAGAGAUGAGAAGCUGAAAUUUAAUCAUAUUUAUAUGCACAUAAAGAAAGUGAUAUAAAACAAUAACUUAGAGCAUCUUUUGGUGA